CCCAAAUCCUCCAAAGGGACUGAGCUCUGUGAAACAACUUCAAGGUCUCUGGCAUCAGAAUAGUGUGACAGUGGUUCUUGUGUGUGUGAGGAAAUUGGAGAGACAAUAUCACUCUCUAAUACAAAUAAGAGAAAAUUGGUGUUUUUCUUGCAGGGUGGCCUGGAACUGGUGUAUGUGACACAGCCCUUCCCCAUCCCCAGCAUGGACACGAUUUAUUUGAGUUAUCUGAGCCAUGUUUGGUGGCACUGCAGCCACUCUGGGCACAUCUUCCAGCUGCUGCAGGAAGGGAUGGAGCCAGAGGUGCCUGGGAGGAGGGAGGAGCAGAUCCUGCUGGGUGUAGAUUUGGGGAUGACAGACAAGCACCUUGAAUUUAUGUGCAGAGUGAAGUCCUUCCCACCACUGGUGAUUCCUUCAGAGGCACAGCAAGUCACUGCAGCUCAUCC
rnacentral:lncRNA from 12 species